rnacentral:ribozyme from 13 species
AAAAGGUUUGGAGAAGAAGAAGAAGUCGUAAAUGUGGUCUCAUAUCCCUUUGUUCCUUUCACCCACGGAGUAUCUUUGAUUUUGUUUCUUUUUCUUAACACUAUUUCUUGUGCUAGUUUUGUGAGGGGAGUCGACAAAAUGUUUUCUUUGAGAAGAUUGAUGCUCACUUCCGUGGAGGGAUCAUAGAUUGGGUCAUCUGAUGUAUGGAGAGAAGAUUUGCCACUCUUAUCUAAGUCUUGCCAUUUUUCUUUCGAUCUGAACAAGAAAGCAAGACGAAAACG